AUUAUCGACAUCUGUUCAAAGCAGAGACAAUACUGGAGAGGCAGGCAAUGAGUCCAAACACGAACAUCAGUCCUAUCAGGCGUCAGAACAAAAGGGGCAGAGUACAAAUACCGUGAGUCAAGAAGUCAGGCAGAAUCAUACACAGGAAAUCAAGCAGGAACAGAGGAAGAAUAACACUUGGUA